rnacentral:rRNA from 1 species
GACGAACGCUGGCGGCGUGCUUAACACAUGCAAGUCGAACGAUGAACCGGAGCUUGCUCUGGGGAUUAGUGGCGAACGGGUGAGUAACACGUGGGCAACCUGCCCCAGACACCGGGAUAACCAUUCGAAAGGAUGGCUAAUACCGGAUACGACCACUUCGGGCAUCCGAAGGUGGUGGAAAGGAUUCUGGUCUGGGAUGGGCCCGCGGCCUAUCAGCUUGUUGGUGGGGUAAGGGCCUACCAAGGCGACGACGGGUAGCCGGCCUGAGAGGCGGACCGGCCACACUGGGACUGAGAAACGGCCCAGACUCCUACGGGAGGCAGCAGUGGGGAAUAUUGCGCAAUGGGCGAAAGCCUGACGCAGCGACGCCGCGUGAGGGACGAAGGUCUUCGGAUUGUAAACCUCUUUCAGCAGGGAUGAAGCGAAAGUGACAGUACCUGCAGAAGAAGCACCGGCUAACUACGUGCCAGCAGCCGCAGUAACAC